rnacentral:rRNA from 1 species
GGCGGCGGCUCUAGAUUUUAAAGGGGGCGCGGCGCUCGUCGCGCGAAGGUGGCGGCGGAUUAGGAGUCGGAGCGACGGAGGAGGUGGUGGCGCGAGGUUAGCCUAGGUCAAGAAACGGCCGGUAAUGGACGCGGAGGGGCUGACGGAAAACGGCGGGGGUGGAGGCGGAGGCUCUGGAUCUAGGGUGGCGGCGUGUGUAGGGGCGGGUCGAGCGACCAGCGGACAUGGAGGCGGGGGUGAACUGGAUAGGAAGGGCGAGUCGAGCUGGCGGACAAGGAGCACCUAUGAAGGGGGGAGAGGGCGCAGCAAUUGGAGGGGCAGCCGUCAGCGCUUCUUUUGGGUGCGGGCAAUGUGCUCAGGGGUUAGAAGGAGAUGCAGUAGCCGGAGUUCUCAUGCUACAGGUACGUUGGGGCGCUCGGUGUUGUGUGGAACUGACUUGAAGAGGUCGAGGAAGCCUUCCAAGAGACGUGAUCAGUGUAUAUUUCCGUUCGUCCUCGGACGUACCAGCACUUUCGUACUCUACCGAUUCCUAGGGCGAUGUAUAACCCUCUCCACCAAUCUGUUGGAACAUGUUGUUCACCUCCUCCUUAAGACCUUAAUGAUAUCUACCGUUCUUCCGUGACUCCAACGACGUUCUUCCCGACAAGUGUUGAGUUAGUUUUUUUAUAUCUACUAUACUAUAUACUCCGUGCCCAAAUCCGACAUCACCUGAUAAUUAAAAAAACAAAAUUUUUGUCUCUAUACAGCCGGCUUGCGAACAUCCUGAAUAGAAUGACACCUAGUCAUAUACCUC